UACAGAGGGUGCAAGCGUUAAUCGGAAUUACUGGGCGUAAAGAGUGCGUAGACGGUAGCGUAAGUCGGGUGUGAAAGCCCCGGGCUCAACCUGGGAAUGGCAUUCGAGACUGCUCUGCUAGGGUGCGGAAGAGGGGAGCGGAAUUUCCGGUGUAGCGGUGAAAUGCGUAGAUAUCGGAAGGAACACCAGUGGCGAAAGCGGCUCCCUGGUCCAGCACCGACGUUCAGGCACGAAAGCGUGGGGAGCAAACAGG
rnacentral:rRNA from 1 species